UACGUAGGCAGCAAGCGUUGUUCGGAAUUACUGGGCUUAAAGAGUUCGUAGGCGGCCUUGCAAGUAGGGUGUGAAAGCCCUCGGCUCAACCGAGGAAUUGCGCUCUAAACUGCAGUGCUCGAGGAAGCUAGAGGUGAGCAGAACAGAUGGUGGAGCGGUGAAAUGCGUUGAUAUCAUCUGGAAUACCGGAGGCGAAGGCGGCUCACUGGGGCUUUUCUGACGCUGAGGAACGAAAGCCAGGGUAGCGAACGGG
rnacentral:rRNA from 1 species